UACGAAGGGGGCUAGCGUUGCUCGGAAUUACUGGGCGUAAAGGGCGCGUAGGCGGCCGAUCAAGUCGGGGGUGAAAGCCUGUGGCUCAACCACAGAAUUGCCUUCGAUACUGUUUGGCUUGAGACCGGAAGAGGUAAGUGGAACUGCGAGUGUAGAGGUGAAAUUCGUAGAUAUUCGCAAGAACACCAGUGGCGAAGGCGGCUUACUGGUCCGGUUCUGACGCUGAGGCGCGAAAGCGUGGGGAGCGAACAGG
rnacentral:rRNA from 1 species